CAAACUAAAGGAAACUGUUCUGUGAUCUCACCUGCUGUACGAGGUCCCAUCUCUGCAAACACUGCCAGGAAUAAGAUGAUGAGGAUGAAGACUCUGACAGUGAUGCGUGGCUUCACUGAAGGCACAGAGGUGAGAUAAACAUCAGGAUCAUUUCUGCCUGGCUGGAGAACCAGGACAAAGGUGAUCAGGUGGAGGUUUCCAUCAGUCGAUCCAGUGGUAAACAGUGGAACUGUCAGCUGUCAGAACUGGCAGUGCAGUACCGUGGUUUUCCUGAAGGUGGAUGUAGACGAGGUGACGACGUCAGUACAGACGGUGAAAUCGACUGCAUGUCCCCGUUCCUCUUUGAUUUUAAGGAUGAAAACGGGUGCACUGGUUGUCAGGCUCACACCCAGAAACACAGUGAAGGCAGCAGUGGAGUAGGAAGAGGUUAGAGUCCACAGAUGGGUUCGAGUCCGGUCCAGAACCAAAUGAACUUCACGUUACAAACUGUUAUAAUAAAAAACAUCAAAACAUUUUUUCAGAACAACUUUUCUUUUUACCCUUUGUAUCAUCAUUUCCCUCUGGUUUCAGGAUUUGAUAAGAGAGUCGCUGCUGCCCUCUGCUGGCCAGAGGCACCUCUCGUCUUUGUCGUGUGGUUUUCAUCUCUGCAGCGUCGACUUCAACCAGACGAAUCAUCAUUCAUUUGUCUCAUGAAUGUGUGUGUGGUUGUGUUGUUGUGUGAGACUCUUUUUAAUGAACAGAAGCACCAGAGGGCGCUGUUGUCAUGGUUCCAGUAGUGAGGUGUCAGUCAGUCGGCUGACUUUGAGUUCACAGAUUGUUUUUAUGGACCAAACAAAACGUCAACGUCUCACUGCGUUCACAGCUAACGUUCCGCCACCUUAGCUAACGCCACCUUAGCUAACGCCACCUUAGCUAACGCCAAGCGUUCGCCCACGUGUGCGCUAACUGUUGGUAGUGAUGCUGUUUUUGAUAGGGUCUGUUAUUGACAGUGUUAUUACCGACCACGCUGCCCAGCGGUGACACCGACCCUCAGGUUGAGCAGCACUCACAGAGGAGGCAGCUGAAGGAAUUAAAGGACUAGUUCACAGGUUUGACUCUGAAACAAAGACGCUCCUCCGACUGUGAAAGUUACUUUUCUGUCCUUGAAGGAAAUUGUUUAGUGUGUGUGUGUGUGUGUGUGUUUGUGUGAGGGAGAGAGAGAGGGGGGGGCGUGCGAUUGAGCAACACGAAGCAAAUAUUAACUUUGUCCAAAGUACAUGGUUGUUCCCUAAUUUCCAGGCAGAGAUGUCAGCAGAGUUCAUGGAUCUGAGAGUUAAAGGAACAUUUCAGUUUUUAUUCACAACGUCAUCAUGACUCACUGACCAGACCUAGAGCGCCCUCUGCUGUUACAGCCAGCCUCACAUUCAGAGGCCUGUACAAUAAAUAAUAAGUUAGUCAUUUGAAUAAAAUACACCAACCUAUGGCUUUUUUAACGUCUGACUCCCCCCCGCUCCCCUCCACACUCCCCCCUCGUCACCGGUCAGUUUGUGUCACUAAUCUAAUCUGAGUCUAAUCUGAACAAGAUUAUAGAUUUUGAGCAGUGAAGUGACAAAAUAACAUAUUUGAGCUCAGAGACUCAGCAGUGGACGAACGACUGCUGAGAGUCUGUGGCUAAAAUCACUGAUUUUCUCUAUGGACUUCUGAAUGGAAGACUGACUGUUUUAUUGAAGCCUGUUUCCUGGUGGAACCUCAGGUUCUUCACCAGACUACAGAGAGCUGAGCUGCCACCUCACUUCCUGUUGACCCUCAGGUGGUGCCAGAGCUGACGGUUGACACAAUAGCUGUUCACGUUGUUGUUGUUGUCGUUGGAGCUAAUCUGAGCCAGAGGCUGAAUGUGGGUCCAGGAAACACUGAGGCGCCAUUGUUUCAAAGCUCUUGGUGUGUGUGUGUGUGUGUGUGUGUGUGUGUGUGUGUGCCAGAGGACACAGUGUUCCAGCACAGACCAGAGCACAGACCAGAGCUCAGCCCCGGUCUGUUUGCAGAGACAUUGAAUAGAAGCUGUGAUGCGUUUGUGUCCACAGUCAGAGAGCAGAUAAAGAUCUCAGGAGGAGGAGCUGCUGUGGAGGAGCACAGCAGCUCCCUGUCUGUUCAUGUCCUCAUGUAAACACAGAGGGUUCAGGUGUCUCACCUCUGCUCCGCCAGGAUCAAACCAACCUGAAAACACUAUUAGCUACAAGAUAAAAUACCAGAGAAAGAAAAGGUCGUUCUGUCGACGGCUGACCAAGAAUCUGCUCACAGAGAAACACCAACAUCAGAGCUGAUCAAGAUUAAAGUGUUGUUCAGUUCUUCUGCUGGAAUCACC